CCUACGGGUGGCAGCAGUGGGGAAUAUUGCACAAUGGGCGAAAGCCUGAUGCAGCAACGCCGCGUGAAGGAAGACGGUUUUCGGAUUGUAAACUUCUAUCAAUAGGGAAGAAAGAAAUGACGGUACCUAAAUAAGAAGCUCCGGCUAACUACGUGCCAGCAGCCGCGGUAAUACGUAGGGGGCAAGCGUUAUCCGGAAUUACUGGGAGUAAAGGGAGAGUAGGCGGCAAGGUAAGCGAUAUGUGAAAGCCUUAAGCUUAACUUAAGGAUUGCAUAACGAACUAUCUAGCUAGAGUGCGGGAGAGGAUAGCGGAAUUCCAGGUGUAGCGGUGAAAUGCGUAGAUAUUAGGAAGAACACCAGUGGCGAAGGCGGCUUUCUGGACUAAAACUGACGCUGAGGCUCGAAAGCGUGGGGAGCGAACAGGAUUAGAUACCCGUGUAGUC
rnacentral:rRNA from 1 species